rnacentral:lncRNA from 1 species
AUUUUCAAUCUGACUAUCUGAUUCUUAUAAAACUUCUACCACUAGUAUCUUUACAAGUCUUCUAAAUGUUCAAGAAGUUCAAUCCAAUCCAACUUACAGAUUACAAGAAAAUGUCCUAAAUCCACACUGAUGUCCCUUGACCGCUGCCUAGAAAUUGAUGACGAACUGUAACUUAUAAUUUUUCCUUCUCUAAUUGUUAG